rnacentral:rRNA from 1 species
AACGAACGCUGGCGGCAGGCUUAACACAUGCAAGUCGAGCGCCCCGCAAGGGGAGCGGCAGACGGGUGAGUAACGCGUGGGAAUCUACCCAUCUCUACGGAAUAACGCAUGGAAACGUGUGCUAAUACCGUAUACGUCCUUCGGGAGAAAGAUUUAUCGGAGAUGGAUGAGCCCGCGUUGGAUUAGCUAGUUGGUGGGGUAAAGGCCUACCAAGGCGACGAUCCAUAGCUGGUCUGAGAGGAUGAUCAGCCACACUGGGACUGAGACACGGCCCAGACUCCGACGGGAGGCAGCAGUGGGGAAUAUUGGACAAUGGGCGCAAGCCUGAUCCAGCCAUGCCGCGUGAGUGAUGAAGGCCCUAGGGUUGUAAAGCUCUUUCACCGGUGGAGAUAAUGACGGUAACCGGAGAAGAAGCCCCGGCUAACGUCGUGCCAGCCGCCGCAGUAAAAC